rnacentral:rRNA from 1 species
AUGAACGCUGGCGGCGUGGAUAAGGCAUGCAAGUCGAACGGGUUUAGACCCGUGGCAGACGAGGUAAUAACACGUAGGUACAUUCCCAAGAGUCGGGCAUAACCCAUCGAAAGGUGGAGCAAUUCCCCGAUGAUGUAGCAAUACUAAAGAUUUAUCGCUCUUGGAUUGGCCUGCGGGCUAUCAGCUAGUUGGUAAGGUAAUGGCUUACCGAGGCAGUGACGGCUAGGGGGGGUGAGAGCCCGAUCCCCACCGAUGGAACUGAGACACGGUCCAUACACCUACGGGUGGCAGUAGCCGAGAAUAUUCGACAAUGGGGGCAACCCUGAUCGAGCGACGCCGCGUGGUGGAUGAAGUCCUUCGGGACGUAAACACCUUUUAUGGGGGAAGAAUUUCGAUGACAUUACCCCAUGAAUAAGAGGUUACUAACUCUGUGCCAGCAGUAGCGGUAAGACAGAGACCUCAAGCGUUAUCCGGAAUCAUUGGGCGUAAAGGGUGCGUAGGUGGAUGUGUUAGUCUUCUGUUAAACCUCCCGGCUUAACCGGGAAUCUGCAGUAGAAACGGCACAUCUAGAGUAUACGAGAGGUAUGCGGAACUCAUGGUGUAGGGGUGAAAUCCGUUGAUAUCAUGGGGAACACCAAAGGCGAAGGCAGCAUACUGGCGUACUACUGACACUCAAGCACGAAAGCGUGGGGAGCGAACGGGAUUAGAUACCCCGGUAGUCCACGCCCCUAAACGAUCUUCUCUAGCUUUCCGGAGUAUCGACCCUCUGGGAGGCGUAGCUAACGCGUUAAGAGAAGCGCCUGGGGAGUACGGCCGCAAGGCUAAAACUCAAAGGAAUAGACGGGGACUCGCACAAGCAGUGGAUCAUGUGGUUUAAUUCGACUCUAAACGAAGAACCUCACCAAGGUUAGACAUUCAACUGAAUAUUUUAGGAAACUAGAAUAGUGUCACAAACACAGUUGAACAGGUGAUGCAUGGCUGUCGUCAGUUUCGUGGUUUGAAUUGUUCCCUUAAGUGGGGUAACGAACGCAAACCCUCAUCGAUUGUUACAAGUGUCAAUCGAGACUACUCCACUAUGUGGAGAGGGAAGCGAGGAUGACGCCAAGUCAGCAUGUCCCUCUGAUACCUUGGGCUACACACAUGAUACAAUGGCCGUUACAGAGAGGCGCAAAGGUGAAAGCCGGAGCAAAUCUCAAAAGAGCGGCCCCAGUUCGGAUAGAGGUCUGCAACUCGACCUCUUGAAGCCGGAAUUGCUAGUAAUCGCAGGUCAGCCAUACUGCGGUGAAUACGUUCUCGAGUCUUGUACUCACUGCCCGUCACGCCAAGGGAGCCGGGAAUACCCGAAGGCUGCCGCAAGGCGGACUAAGGUAAGCUCGGUGACAGGGGUG